CGCUCCCCAUACACUCUGUCAAUAAGAUAACAUUUAUUAUAUUUAUAGUCAACUAAAAUAAACUUACCAUUGCUAUCCCCAUUUAUCCCAUUGGAUUUGUCAGUAAACUUCUUAUUUCUCAUCUGCCCUUCUAUUUGAUUCAGGAAAUAUUUACAAAGUCCAAAGCCCUGUUGGAAAUGGAGACUUGAUUUCUACACACAAGACCUCAGGCUGAAAAUAAUGCACACAGCUAGGAGUUCCACAGACUGACAGGAGAAUUGAAGGGAUCUUUUGAGGUUGUUUGAACCAGGGGUAAAACCCAAGUUUUAUCCUUUUGGGUCUGUCUUUUCACUGAUGCAGUGUAGACUUAAGUGCCAUAGGUGAGAGAUGAGAGAGCCUGGUGAUGUCUUAUGAUGGAGGAAGGACAGACUGAGGGCCCCCCGGCACGGGGGCAAGGGGGGCAGCCUGUUCAGUGACCAGGAAGGAAGGGCACGCCACCAGGGGAGGGCUUCCGCUGGUCAAUUCCUGGAGCCUGCAAAGUUCAGGAAGAGGUUGAGAGAAAAGCAGAAAGCCAUUGGGCCCCAGGACCCAAUUCAUGAAGGUUCCCAGCAAAAGCAAAGCCUGGAGAGGUGGGGUCAAGUCAGAUCACAGCAGUUGUGAUGGUCCCUGAGUGUUGUAUUAAACUGUUGGGAUUUUAUGGGAGAAAGAAAAGGAAGCCGAGGCAGAACAGAUACGGACUCACAGACUUUGAACAAUCUAUGGUUUCCAAGUGAGACAGGGUGGGGCGUAGGGGGAGGCACUGAGGGUUCGGGAUGGAAAUGCUGUAAAAUUUGGUUGUGAUGAUUGUUGCACACGUAUAAAUGUAAUAAAAUUCACUGAAGGAUUUAAAAAAAAAGAAAAAAAGGAAGCCACUGAAGUUUUGAAGACAAGAAUCAGAGCUAAGGAAGCCGUCCCAAGGAAACAAGGCAAACCUUACAUUGGGUCAGUUUUAUAAUUACUAAGUACCUUUUCAUCUGAAAGAGCUUUUCUAACAUUCAAACUGCUAACAUAACUAGUUAAUACCUUAGAUGCUUCAACUAGUCAAAUCCCUUUGUUAAGCUGCUUAAUCAAAGAUCAAAACUUAUAGAGACUUAUGAUGCUUUAAUUUAUCUGUAACGUUCCAUCCCUGAUUUGACUUUUUUUUUUUUUUUUUUUGUCUUUUUGCCUUUUCUAGGGCCGCUCCCGUGGCACAUGGAGGUUCCCAGGCUAGGGGUCUAAUCAGAGCUCUAACCACCGGCCUACCCCACAGCCACAGCCACGCGGGAUCCAAGCCACGUCUGCAAGCUACACCACAGCUCACGGCAACGCCAGAUCCUUAACCCACUGAUUUGACUUUUAAAAAAUGUUACUGUUUUUAUAAACCAAGGCAGAAAGAAUCUCUAAUCCAGGUAUCCUGCGUAUUAUUCCCUUUUGAUCCUUUUUAAACAGCAGGCUUGAUCUUAUAAAGCAAGGACAGAGAAAUCAAUCACAAUUUGUUUACUAUUUGACAUAUUAAUCCAUAUGCUUUGUGUACACUGUAAUUAUUUUAUUGUGGUUGUUAUUGUUGUUUUAGAACCUGUGGUUCUCUCAUCAUUCAGACUCCAUCUCUGAAUGCAUGAAGUCAGGGCAGGAUUGUCACAGCAGAAACACCACUGCUGAACAAGAGAAGAGAACAGUCUUGGCUGUUGAGUUUAAAUGAAGAUUUUUCAAAGCUCAAAAACAAUGAUUUGUGAGAAAGGGGAUUUUGAGUUUCAAAAGCCUUCAUUUUUAGUAGGCUCUGGAUAUAAAACAGUACAUUUAAAGAGCUCCUAUCCGAAAAUGUAUAAAUAAAUAAAGGACUCCUGUCCACCUGUACAAGAUAAAUAUUGUCCAGGCUGAGAAGAAGGCCCAAGAGGUAGCAAUAUCUAAGAUAUUUGGUUGCAGCUUGGGUCUAAGUCUGUACAAUAAGUCCAUUUGGAACACAGGAGAGAUGUUUGUCCAAAUCGAAGUCCGUGGAGGCUUCACCAAAUUCCCCAAUAUCAGUGCAUUCCAGGUGCAAUCCUGUAAGGAAAAAAUAUAUAUAUAUAUGUCUAUAGAGUGUUUCUCCGUGCUUUCAAGACUGGAGAAGGUUUGGUAGAGAGCAAACAUAAUCACCUUUGCAGGAAGGCAGGGGAGGUGGAUCCUAGGCUUGGACCAGCACUGACAGGAUACAGAUGUUUCAGUGGGUGCAAUGUGGAGAGGUGGGAAGAUCAGCUACCCCCGGCUACCAGCACCUCCAAAACUUUAAUCCAACCCAGGAAAAAGAGAGGGGGCAAUAAACCCCUGAGUUGACAAAGGAACUCCUGACCAUGAUUAAUCUGAGCUGGCUGAAUUCUCCACAGGCAGUAUGGGAACCUGAGAUUGAAAUCAAGUUGAGGUUUAGAAAAAUAUAAUUAUGCGUACAUUGCUGUUAUUUAUUGCACAAUUUUCCCAACUCUUAAAAUAAUCAGAAGUGGAUACAGUAGGUUUCCCUGGCAACAGGGAAUGAAUUUCCCUAAGUUAGUGGCCACUCGGCAGAAACCUUUGAGAGGAUGAAAACUGCUCAGAGAGUGGCCCGAACUAGUGAACACUCACCUGGAAGUUUCCUCUCUUGUCGGUGACAUCUGUCCCCUCUCACUCAUCAUGGCAUCAUUCCCCUCUCACUGACUUCAAAGUGCUGGCUUCCAAAGACGGCAGAAACAGGGACCUUGCCACUUCUAGAGCCAGAUACUCUCAAGUCUGAAUUCACCUGUGCAAGUUGCAUGGUAUGUCAGGAUUUUUAAAUUACAGUGCCUUCCACCCCAGGGUAGUUGAUGUUAUUCUUGGGCACAGUUCACACAUUCUUUCAGAUAAUGCUGGAGCACCUGGGACCCAGAUGAUCCUAUGACGACAGGGAACUCACCGACAGGUAUGAGUUUGGGCACUAAGCAUGAAGACGUCAGAAAGUCUGUGCCUGCUUGCAUUUGCUGAACAAAAAGUUUUCCUACGCUCAAGUUAUGAUUAACUCAGAAUCAAUAUGAUGCCAUUUAUGAGGCCAAAUAGUACUUUUAGGUCUUAUUAGUAGUAUUUAGGUAGUUUUCACUUUCAGUGCAUUAAUGAAACUAUGGCCAUUUAGCUUAAUAACAAUUGAAGCACUAACAGUGUUUAAAUAAAUUUGACACAGAAUGGCAUGUUAAAGUUUUUCAUGAAUUCCUUUAAAGGAAAUUGCUUUUUAAACUAUAUUAUUAAAAUAUUACUGUUUUUCCUUUAGGCCUGUACUUUGAAACCACAAAUGCCCCUUAAAAAUGUAACCCUUUAUGGAGUUUCCAUCAUGGCUCAGUGGUUAACGAAUCUGACUAGGAACCAUGAGGUUGCGGGUUCAAUCCCUGGCCUCACUCAGUGGGUUAAGGAUCCGGCGUUGCUAUGAGCUGUGGUGUAGGUCUCAGGUCUCAACUCGGAUCUCAACUCAACUCAGGUCUCAACUCGGAUCCCGAGUUGCUGUGGCUCUGGCAAAGGCUGGCGGCUACAGCUCCGAUUAGACCCCUAGCCUGGGAAUCUCCAUAUGCCACAGGUGC
rnacentral:lncRNA from 1 species